UGCCUAUCCACAUGAAGAGUUAAUUGUGUUCCUGAUUAGCAUCGGAACAUUUGCCUGUUUAGGAUUCGAACCAAUCGCUGGUUUGAGAUCACGGAGCCUUGGAGCAAUACGAUGAUCUGUAUGCAAUUGGAUUCCAGAAUCUUUCAGGACGAUGCCAGCUGUAGCCAUUUGUAGGUUAACCUGGAGUGAUUCGUGAAGAUUAGUUUCAGGCUGGUCCAUUUGAAAUAUUAUUGUUUGUAUAAUUUUUUAUGCUUCAUCUUGAUGCACUUUUUGUGACGCUGGAAAGGUACUUGGUAGUUUCGUCGUCGGAGGUAUCGUUCCUCUUUAAGUAACGGAUUUCUCUAAGCAACGGAUUACUUAUUCACCUGUAUCGUGUGACAAGAGGAAACAUGAAACUUCUGUAACUCUCAAGUAGCAGGCAUGGUAGCCUUUCUCGUCAAACAUUCCCACCACACCGCAAUUCUGUUGGAUGUUGUGCGUGCCUUCCUAGUUCGUGCAAAACGGCUGAGUACGCAGGAUUCCUAAACUAUCAUGAAGUGUUCCUGCCGAUUCUUUCCUCGAAGGUGCAAGAUGCCCCGAACGGCACUAUGUAUGUUGUAAUACCUUCUCAAGUUUCCGUUUUAGAACAGUUCAGAUCUGACUACUGGUGGGUAGUUAGGCCUAUUUUCGAGGAUUGCACUCUUUCGUGGGAUUUUUCUAAAAGCUAGAAUUGUACUUUUCAUGAGACGGAGGGGUACUCUCGUGGGUCAUUUCCAAGUUCCAACACAUGUUGGAAAAGCAAAGGAGUGUCAAUUCCUCACCCAAGUGAAAAUAACCCUUCCCUCACUUGACUAUACGAUCCGAGAUCGACGUCUGAGAUCGAACCGGCCUCCUCCUUUAUCUCGUCCACCGGUCACCCCACCUUAUCCGCUCACCUCCACCCAACGCCGCCCACUGCCUCCUCCCCGCUGCCUUACCGGCGCCGGCGCGGCCCACCCUCCCACCGCCUCCCCUCCCUCCUCCGUCCCCACCAUCCGUCGUCGCUACUGCUUCACCGGCGCCGUUCCUUCACCACCGCCGUCGGCUACGUCGCCCCUGCCCCCGCCCCGGCACCGCCCAACCGCCUUCCACCACCGCCUGACCGGCGGCGCCCCCGCAACCGCCACCUCCGUCGGGCCAGCCUCCCGCCGCCGGUCCUCCCUCUAAGGCCAUCGGUGAGUUCCCAACCUCGAAAACCCUAACCACCGAACCCCCUAAUCUCGCCAGAGCUGCUCGUCGGAGCUCAAAUCCAGCAAGGAAAAAAUCGAACGAGGGAAGACCAUGUUUUACUUGGGUGAGAUAUAGCUUUUGCCAAAAGCAAAGAGCUUACGUCGAUCAAACACUACAUCGCGAAAGUUCACGUUAAGUUCAUACACGCAAGUAAUACUGCAGUUCAGAAUUUGGAAAGUGUGAAUUAGUUAUAACAGCUAGUUUGACUGUAGGUCUCUCGCUUUGAAAUUUCUGCCAAGAUUUCUAUUCUGGUCCAUGCGAAUUCGGGCUGGCCCGUGCCAAUUGCCAGCCUCUCGCAAGGCACGGAGCGGCCCAAUAAAGGCGAGCAACCAAGCAGAGAGAGAGAGGCGCCGCCCGCAACGAACACCCACCAGCUCGGCCGCCUCCCCACGCUCCUCUCCCCUAGCCCCAGGCCCCGCUCUCCAUUGCAGGAGGGAAAGGGCGCACCAACUCCGGAGCCCAAACCCUCAACCCCCACCGCGCCGCUCCGCCCCACCCGCACAUGGCCUCCCCCUCCCGCUCCCCCGCCGCCGCCCGCCGCGGCCGCAGCGCGCGGCAGUCCCCCUUCUUCCGCGACCUCGCCUCCCCGAUCCCGUCCCACCGCGGCGCCUCUCGCUUCGCGUCGUCCGCGUCCACCGCCGCGGCCCCCUCCGCGACGCCACCGCCGCCGCCCAUCUUCACCCUCGACGACCGCUACGCCUCCGCGGACUUCUCCCCGGACCCCACCGCCUCCGACCUCCUCCCCGUGGCCUCGUCCCCGUCCCCGCGCGCCGCCGCCAGCCGCUCGCCGUCAUGGGACCGGUCCCGGGGCAGGGUGGCGCUCUCGGCACCGGGAUCCCCCAUGGAUGGGGUCGUGGAGCCGGCCCGGAAGGAGGUGCUCGCACUGCCUCCGCCUGCGAGCCCUGGCACCCCACCUCUUGCUACCACAGCGGAGGCGCAGUCGUCUGUGACCCCCGCACAGGCACCGGUUAGGACGGAGCCGGUGGCGAACGGAGGGGAGGCGGAACGGGAGGAGUGGGUCACAGUAUUCGGGUGAGAAAAUGAUGCUUAUGCUCUGUUUUGCACUGGAUUAGCUUAGAAAUGUGUGUUGGCAGACGCGUAUGCACAUGUUAGAUUUGGUUCUCGAAAUAGCUUCGGUGCGUGUUCGUCCUGAGUUGACGCUCCUGGCAUUUGCUUGCUCCUGUUUGUUUUUUCCCGGAUAUUAAUUUGUACCCCUGAUUGUUGGUACCUUAUAUGAUAUAGAUUGAUUUCUUUGCGUUUGUACUCUUUUAUACAGAUUCUCUAUUGGAGAUACCAACCUUGUUCUUCGGGAAUUCGAGAAAUGUGGAGUAAUAUUGAGACACCACUCUGGUCCAAGAGAUGGUAACUGGAUUCACAUAUUGUACCAGGUAAUGACACAUUCAACCACUGGCGUGCUUCCAUUUUCUGUUGCUGUUUGAUUUCUUGUAUCUUUGUUAUCUGAAGCUCAGGUUGCCCUGUUGCUUACCAGCGGUUUUUAGUUGCUAGUGAACUGUAACAACUGGACAAAUCAUUUAUGCUCCUACACCUCCAUAAGGCAGAUACAUAGAGUUGAUUUUCCAAUAUUUGAAGGGGUUGAAUAAAUGUUUGUCAUAUCAGCUUCAGUUAAUAGGAUGGCGUUUUGAGCUGUGCCACCAUGAGCACCAAGUUUUUUCCUCAUGUGUUACGUGUACCUGUUAUCCUUUGAACAUGAAGCAUGUUGGUGUCUUAUGUUUUCACAAUCACAUCCUCGAAUGUAGUGCCACAAGGAUUUGGGAUUAUUAUGUUUCAAAAUUUUCAUCUUGUAGCACAAUCCAUCGUUAUGUGAUGAUGGGUUUGUGGACAUCCGCGCAUUCUGGGUUAGUAGAUGUUGGAAGAACAAAAGCAAAAGGUAUAGUCUUGUGAGGCUUGCUAAAUAACCUUCACCCAGUUGAGCUAUAAGGCUUACUCAAAUGGCAAUCCUUUGAACCCCUUUUCACCAUCAAGUAGUUUUGUUGUUGGUAGCCUUUUUCAUGUAUUUAGACUAAGAACCUGUUACUACCGAUUUUACCUUUCUGGAUGGACUUUCUCUUCAAAGUUCAAAAGUCUCAGAUGAAUUUAAACUGACUGCUUUCACCAUUGUAUAUUUGGUAUUGAAGCGCUCGUACGACGCUCGGAAGGCCCUCCAGAAAAAUGGUAUCCAACUAAGCAGUGGGCUCAUAGUUGGAGUAAAGCCUAUUGAUCCAGUGCAUCGUCAGCAGCUGGAUCAGAGGUUAAUUGGAAGCAACCAAGGAGGUUUUAUGGUUUCCUUGCCUUCAAAGUCACUUGCCUUGAAGAGCACAGGCGCAUCGAACCAGCUAGGAGCUUUGCCCCGCCCAUAUGACCCGAAGGCUAACACAAAUGUUAACCGAGAUGCAGGCCGUCGUGCAACCGGCAGUGUUGCUGCACCCGCAAAAUCAAUUGUAACCAAUGUGAUGGAUUUGAUAUUCGGCAUUUGAUAUGCCAAUGAUGACCUAUUGAUACAUCGUGAGCAUUCUCAGUUUCUUCUGUUUACUCAUUUGAGAAUGCCAGAACGCCAAAGAUUGGGCAGCAAAUUUUGCUGAAACUGAGAGAUUACAAAGAGUAAACUUCUUUCUUUUUGGCGAUGUAACAUUCAUAUUGUGCAAUUUUUCACGUUUAGUUGCACUUAUGCUGUCUUAUGAUCUGCCUAGAUGAGGGCACCUGCUGUAUGCUGGUGGCUAUGCUCCUUUUGGAGUGGGAGAUUUUGAUAUUUUUAAUGGCCCUAAUCUUCUGCCGUUUUAAAGUGUCACAUUACUUUGUUACCUGCUGAAAUAGGUGCUGGUAAAGAAUUUUGGGAAAAUCGUGCCACCCUCUGUGAAAUACUGUAUGUAUUUGAGACAUAUCAGGUCAAAGCUGAAUGACAGAUCGUGUUACAAGUCAGCUGGGGAAUUUUCUCCACUGAUUUCUUUUUCUGUUUUGUACACCCAAAGAUUUUCCUGUGGUCCCAAGCCGUAGCUGCUUUCUGAUUGGCUAGUUUGCUGGAAAACAUGUCAUCGAACCAAUCAGGAGCCUUCUGGUUCUGGCCGGAAAGGAGAAAGACAAUCCUGAUGAAAGAAAUCAACGGCCUAGAUUGUUCGUUCCCCUCGAAAUUUCACUUUAGUCCUUGCUUUUGUCGACGCGACGAAUAUUUCCACUUAUCACUCGAAAAACCUUUUAUACAAUGUAUAUUUAUUAACUGGAAAUUAACCUUCACAGCCAUAGAAAAAUAAAGGAACAAAUUUAGUAAAAGAGGACAUGAGAACUUUGCAGCGCGGGUACCGUUUCCUGAGAUAACACAAUUUCCAGGGGCUUACCCGCAAAAAGAGCAAUAAAUCUCGGUCCCCUUGUGCUGGACUGGAGCACCCAGUUCGCGAUCGCGAGGUCUUCGUCUCCGCCUGGGUCCAGCGCUGGGAUUUCCGCGCCCUCCACCCACACAGCCAACGACGUUGCCGCAAUGGCGGAGCCGGUCUCCUCCGCGGCGGCCAGCGGCGGCGGGAGACUCCGCAACGCCUUCGGCGGCGUGCUCUGCGCCUUCACGCUCCUCCUCAUCGGCGUCGUCGCGUUCUCGAUCCGCCUCUUCUCCGUAAGAUCCGUUUUGCCCCCGAGCCUCCAGAUCCAGUUCGGUGCUCGCAAGGCGCUCCGGGAAUUGUGUGUGCUCAUCCUUCAUGGCUGUUGGCGCGCAGGUAAUCAAGUACGAGAGCGUGAUCCACGAGUUCGACCCCUACUUCAACUUCCGCGUCACUCAGGUGUGAUUGCUGGUUCCCUUCAUUUCACCUUUUUCGUUUUGUUCUGGAGUAUUUGGAAUUGAGCUCGGUCCAUAGGAGAUUACGGUGUCUUAUUGAUUCUGCGCUUUGGCGUUGAGAGGGUUCUGGGUUUUGGAAAUUGACUGUUGCCUGGUAGAUUUAGUUUACUGUGAGAUGGUUAGGGAAGUAUAGAGCAAGUGAGGAUCACGUAGGGCCCUAAAUUGUUGGAUGAAACAGUUAUAUUCCAUAUCUGGUCUCAAUUUCCCCUUGCUACAGUUUCUGUCGAAGAAUGGAAUUUACGAGUUCUGGAACUGGUUUGAUGAUAGGACAUGGUAAGAGCAGCUCCAACCUCUCAAUUGUGCAGUACUGUGCGACUUCUGUGUAAAAUGGAAUGUACCAUACAAAUAGUUGGCUGAUUUCAUUGCUGUUGCUGCUGUUUUAGGUAUCCCCUUGGCCGUGUGAUUGGUGGCACUGUGUAUCCUGGUUUGACAUUGACUGCUGGAACUAUGUGGUGGUAUGUCAACAAAGGGAUACACUUUACUGUCUUGCAUUCCUUCUGAUUACUGCAGAUACAUGCCUAAAGUAUUUGAAUGAUCCUCUAGGUUGGUGAACGCUCUUAACAUCCCAUUGUCUGUGGAGACAGUUUGUGUGUUCACUGCUCCAAUUUUCUCGGCAAAUGCUUCCUGGGCUACUUACCUGUUAACAAAGGUUGUUUUUUCAAAGAAGUGUGAGUUAUCACGCUAUUCUCAUCUAUCUGCAAAUCAUGUGCUUACUUUUGAUUUUUCCUAUAGGAAGCAAAGGGCACAGGAGCUGGAUUAAUGGCAGCAGCCAUUUUGGCAAUGGUAAAUUGCACCAACAACUUACCUAUCGCUUUUGACCAUUAUAAAAAAUGCUGAAUUGGUAAAAAACUUAUUUGUUUGAUUUAUUGAUAUCUAGCCAUUUUCAUGUCAUGGUGGAAAUGAAAAUAAAAAAUUUCUUUGAUUAAACUAGAUAGUUAGUUAAUUUCUGUUAAACAUUCAUGUAAGUGUAAAUAGAAGAGUGGUACAAUUUGCAAUACUAUCUGUGAUUGCUGAUUUCUUCAUCCUGAACAUAUAUUUCUAAACUCGUUAGGAGUUCGCUGAAUGACUGACUGAAUCUGUGCUAUGUUGACAGUCAAGUACUUGACAAUUUGAGUUUCCUCAGUUACUUGGGUUUACGAUAAAUUUUCUACAUGAUUUUGUUUGUAUUGCCCAAUUGUAACACUGCAUUGAGAUAGCAGCAUGAUGUUUAAUUUUAAGCUACUCACCUAUUUCUUAGGAUACUGUAUUAUCUAUGUAUGUAGUCUUCCAUACUGUAAUAGUACUGUACCGUUAAUUGGAAUGUUGUUCUCUCGACAUCAUCACAGGUCCCCUCAUAUAUCUCAAGAUCUGUUGCAGGCAGCUAUGAUAAUGAAGCUGUGGCAAUAUUUGCCUUGAUAUUUACAUUUUAUCUGUAUGUAAAGGUAAUGGUCCUUGAGAUGUGUUUUCCAUUUUGCUUCUUUUAACAUAAUUCAAUUCUCUGACUUGUAUGCAAAUGAUAUACAGACACUGAACACAGGGUCGCUCUUUUAUGCAACGCUCAACGCUCUUUCCUAUUUCUACAUGGUAAACUUGUUAAAGUUUCAUUCAUGUUUUUCAAAUGUAUUUUAUAAUCAUAUAUUAGCCCUUUCCAGGUCUGCUCUUGGGGAGGCUACACAUUCAUUAUCAACCUUAUCCCAAUGCAUGUUCUCUUGUGCAUUGUUACUGGUCGUUAUUCUUCGCGGCUCUACAUUGCAUAUGCUCCCCUUGUAAGUGCAUAAGCUUCCUCUUGUAGAUGUGCCCUUCUUGCCGGUGUGCUCGUCUGGAAACCAUAGCUUAUCAGAUCAAUGGAUCAUUUUGCAGGUUAUACUUGGAACACUUCUAGCAGCCUUAGUACCUGUGGUUGGUUUUAAUGCAGUAAUGACCUCUGAGCACUUUGCAUCAUUUCUGGUACCUACACGCCUUCUCUCCUUUCUUGAUAUUUCUCCAUUCCGCAAAUGUUUGCUACUUGUGCGUGGGUUCCUAAUUUUAGGACUCUUGAUUUCUCAAGUUUGAGAGAAUGUUGGAGUAAGAUAAAAUGCAUCUCCAAGAUGUUGAGACCAAAUGCAAGAGUGCAUUGAUAUUCUUCAUUGCAGUUCAUAUAUAGUAUAUGUACAAUAAAUACUAACCCCAUUUCACGAUAUUUGUCCAACUACAUUGCACAGUGCACACACGGACUAAUCCAUAUCAUUGCUAAUUUGCUACCAUAUUGGAGAAAUGCAAAAUUGCACUUUCAAUAUCAUUGAUGACAAUAUACUUAUUACAGGUGUUCAUAAUCCUUCACGUGGUUGCUCUUGUGUAUUACAUCAAAGGGCUUUUGACUCCUAGGCUGUUCAAAGUUGCUAUGACUCUUGUCAUAUCUGUUGGCUUGUAAGUCUUUGACCUUACCAAUCUUUCAUAAUACACAAUAGACUAUUAGCCAUCUAGCUUUAUCUUUGGACCUUGUAACCAACAAACAUCUAGUCAUCAGAAUAUUGUCUGACUAAUUUUCUAAGUGAAUCUGCUAUAAAUCUCCAAAUGCUGAUUGCAAGAUCCUUCCUGCAGAGCUGUUUGUUUUGCAGUAGUAGCUGUACUUGUCGCAUUGGUGGCAUCUAGUCCAACAAAAGGCUGGAGUGGCCGCAGCUUGAGUCUACUUGACCCGUAAGUUCUUCUAAAAUGAAAGGCAUUUAUUUUGCCAAUCAAAAUAAUGAUUAACCUGACCUGGGAACUGAUAGACAUGAAAUAAUACUUAAUUAUAACCUGCUGUUAUUAGGUUUUAUUUUUUUAGUGUAGCAGACUAUUUAAUGUUGCCAUGUGAUACUUAACCUCUGAGACAAAUAAAAGUGGUUUACGUCAAUAUUGCCAGUUGCCACAUCUUAUUAGUCUUUCUGAUGCUGCUGAUUUCUGUGCAAAGUGUCAUGAUAGAGUAUGCUUGUUCCGCUUCUCUUGUGUUAAUUGCUCCACCUUCAUUCUUGCUUUUCUGACAGAACUUAUGCAAGCAAGUACAUCCCCAUCAUUGCCAGUGUCAGUGAACACCAACCUCCUACCUGGCCCUCUUAUUUUAUGGACAUCAAUGUGUUGGCCUUCCUGAUUCCUGCUGGGAUUAUUGUAAGAAAUUCACCUUUUAAAUUGAAAUUGUCUCAGCACCAGUCUUACUUCUGAUUAAUCAAUAUUUACUUGAUCCACAGUCAUGCUUCUUGCCUUUGUCUGACGCAAGCUCCUUCAUGGUCUUGUACUUAGUCACUGCAGUGUAUUUUUCUGGAGUAAUGGUAAGAAUCCUUGCAGUAGGAAAAAUCUCAUAGCAUCAUAUGUUUUCAAUAUUUAUUUAUUUGUUAACUUUCUGUGGCAUCCAUUCUUUGCUAGGUGCGGCUUAUGCUUGUCCUUGCUCCUGCUGCGUGCAUUUUAUCUGGGAUUGCUCUCUCUGAAGUUUUCGGUGUCCUCACACGAUCCAUUAAAUUUCAGCUGUCAAAAUUAUUUGAUGAUAACUCUGCUGCUGUUUCUGCUGUACGGUUGCUUCUUUCAUUGUUUUUUUUUCCUUUCUUUGUAAGAAUUGAAGUAGCCUUUCAAUCACUUGUUGACAAUCUGUUUCUUCUGGAUCUUAAGUCUGGUGACAGUGGCCCAGAGAGUUCUACAAAUUCAACAAAAAGUGAAAAUAGGAAUGAAAAAUCUGAAACAGCUCCAAAGGAAAAACCAUCAAAGAAGAACCGAAAGAAGGAAAAAGAAGUGGCAGAGAGUGUUCCUGUAAAGCCUAAAAAAGAAAAGAGGCUUUUGGUUCUGCCUUUUGAAUUAUCCAUUAUGGGUAUUUUGUUGCUGAUUGUGCUAGGUGGUUUCUAUGUAGUAAGUCCUCUGUUCUCCGUUUCAGAAAGAAUGUGUCUUCAUAGAAAGGGAGACAUCUUACCGUUACUGCUGCCACUUUUGCAGGUCCAUUGUGUAUGGGCAGCAGCUGAAGCGUACUCCGCACCUUCAAUCGUGCUGACAUCUCGUUCACGUGAUGGAUUGCAUGUUUUUGAUGAUUUCCGUGAAGCUUAUGCAUGGCUGAGCCAUAACACAGAUGUUGACGACAAGGUAUGCUCACCCCUUGGCUUCUAUUGUUUCUUGGACUGGUUUUUAUACUUGCAGUAAGAUGUUUUACUCUAGGUUGCUUCCUGGUGGGACUAUGGUUACCAAACAACUGCAAUGGCCAACAGAACUGUGAUUGUAGACAAUAAUACCUGGAACAACACUCACAUAGCAACAGUUGGUACAGCAAUGUCAUCCCCGGAAAAAGCAGCUUGGGAAAUCUUCAAUUCUUUAGAUGUCAAAUAUGUGCUUGUUGUCUUCGGAGGUUUGUGCUUUAUGGCGCAUAGGGGAAAAAUUCAAUGUACGUUGAACCAUUGGUCCCAAAUCCUGACAUCGGAUUUUUCCUUUACAGGGCUUGUUGGCUACCCUAGUGAUGAUAUCAAUAAGUUUCUUUGGAUGGUUCGCAUAGGAGGUGGUGUAUUCCCACACAUCAAGGAGCCAGAUUAUCUUGUGAGUUGUAUACUUUGUUCUUCAACAAUACCUUAUACACAUCAUUUUGGUAUCAUAAUAGAGAAAAAGUUAAAUACACACACAUUUGCUUCCUUCUUCUUUAUUCUAAUUUCUGAGUUAAUGUUAUCCGCAGAGGGAUGGCCAGUACCGUGUUGAUGCUCAAGCCACUCCUACUAUGCUGAAUUGCCUCAUGUACAAGCUUUGCUAUUACAGGUCUGGUACACUGAAUCCAGCAAACCAUUUUUUUCUCAAAACGCGGGAUAUCUAUUCUCUUUGUGGUCAGCAAACCAAUUUUAGUUGGAAUAUCCAAUCACCACACACAUGUCCUUUUGACAUUACUUCCUUUGUGCCUUCUAGGUUUGUGGAGACUGAUGGAAAAGGCUUCGACAGAGUAAGAGGAUAUGAAAUUGGAAAGAAGCAUUUCAAGCUAACACAUUUUGAGGAGGUAUUAUGAUGCUGAUGUCUGUUCCAAUUAGCAAACAAUUGAAUUUUCACCUAUUUUCUAACUCGACCCUUUUCUUGAUGUUUUACCCAUCUUGGUGCUGAAUAAAGGUAUUCACAACCCACCAUUGGAUGGUCCGUAUUUAUAAACUGAAACCCCAGAAGAACAGGGUUCGAGGCAAGUUGAAGAAGUUGAAAUCUGUAAGCCCGACAACCUUCUAUUAUGAUGCAUCCUUGUUAUUUGCUAGCCCAUCCUAAAAUCAUUCUCUGGUUAUUUUUGUACCCGCAGAAUGCCAAAACUAGUUCCACCCUUGCGGCAGGCCGAAAGAAGAACCCGUGGCAAUAGAUGAAGUUAACAAUAGUGUCAUUUACUUGAUACUUGCUGUUGCUAGGUCAACUGCACUAAGCUUGUGAACCAGAAAACCACAGGACUAGAUUAGAGAUAUCUGCACUGUUGUUGUAUUUGACCCUCGUUAUAUGUUCUUGGAACCGGCCAGCGGGGUGCUGAUGAAAUUUUUGAUAGACCUGAGCAAAUUUUUCGCGCCCUUUUUCUGGUAUACUGUUCGUGUCGUUUGCACUGAAGAUGCAAGAUUGAAAGGCGUCUGUUAGAACGAGGUCAGAAUGGUCGUGGGUGUAUUUGCUGCCAUUAAUUUAACGUUGAAUCACACGCCUUAAAAUUUCAAUUCAACUAUUUGAUGGGUUGCUUUGUUGUUUUGUGCUGGGUUGAUAAGGAGUUCUGGCAUUCAUGCAAGCACCAACUGAAGCAUCGUUGCAUGUACAAAUAUCAGAUCCCAACCAAACAUCACUGAGUGCUCCGGUCUAGGAACUGAUCCAAAGGAUAUUUUCAAUGUGAUGUUUUAAUGAAUCCAGUGAAUAUGUAAUCUGAUACAGUAUGGGAACGUGUAACCCAAUACAAAAUUCGGGUAUGCUAUACGUUUCUAGAUUCUCCGCAGACCAGAGCACAUUGCCGUUCGUUUCAGUCUGCCAAGGCCUUUUCAUUACUAUAUGCUCACGACCAAUAAGUGAGUCAGUGUUAUCGUAUUAUUUUACAAUGAUCUCUCAAAUCUGCAAUCUGAACAACGAAGAAAUUUUCAGAAAAAGAAGGGAUGGGCAAAAAUCCAAGGCAAAGAUAAAGUGUUUGAGAUAAUGCUAGCAUGCCGAGGUAUCGAAACAAUGCUGUAUCAUCUGCUCCAAUUUUUGGAACUGUAAAACUAGUAAUUCUCAAUGAUGAGAAGUGAAGACGCUCUUGAAUUGGAUUAAGCAUAUGGUCAUCAAGUGUCUUGAAUUGAAAUCUGUAGCUCAUGAAUUCACUCACUUCUGGUCUGUAUAGACUGCAUCAACAUCAUCAAGCUCUAGCAAUUUUGAUACAAGCUCCUUAUUUAGUUCCAUGGCCUCGUCAUCCACCUGCAACAACAAUAUGGGAAGUGUCACAGAUACUAUGAUGCUCUCAGCAAAAGAAUCAAAAUGUGCACACAUGGCCAUGGCCAAUGAACUACAUUAUGAAGAAUUAGCCUUUAUGGAAGUAUGACAGCAACCUUCACUCAGAGAAACCUAUUAUAGCAUUGAUUCACUAUCUUGCAACUCAUGCGUGCGUACCUCAAUUGGGUUCAGAGGAAGAAGUUCGUAGCCAUUAUCAGUUUCAAACUUUAGUCCUUCCUCCUGCAGCUUCGAUAGCACAACUGGAUAGUUGUCUGAUGUAGUAACUAUCUUGUAGAACCUAGGACAGAAAGGGGCAGUUUUCAGAUGAAAGGAGAAUUUCUAUGAAGAAUGUGGCUAAAUGCACUAAACAAGAAAGUCAAGCACCAGGAAUAUCACAUGUAAUUUGUAUACUAUCUACUUAUCUAUAAAGCCACCUUAAUCAUGGCCCGAAAUUAAAGCAUGCCAAAUAUAUAAAUUCUUGACUACAUUGCGUUCUGCCUUUAACAAAGUUUUUCUGUAUGCCUUUGAAGAAGUGACCACAUAACCUAUGUUUUGUUAACUGGUACUUACAAGAAAAAUGGACAAACCAAUCUAAUGUAUCGCAACUUCAGAUUUAACCCCAAAAAAAUGCAUGUGGCUUUAUAUGAAUAAGUACCUUUCUAUUUCUUCUUCAGAGUCAUCAUCAUCAUCAAAAUUUGGUUCAAGGACAUCAUCGGCACCAGCAUCUAACGCAAUGGAGAGCAGUUGGUCCUUACCAGCAUCAGUAACUUUUAUAUUCACCACUCGAGCUUGUCUGAAUCUAAAGGUAACAGACCCAGGAUCAGCCAAUUUUGCUCCACAGUCUUUUACCACAUUUCUAAUGUCAGCAACCGAUCUUGUAAUUUUGUCAGUUAGGACCUCCACGAUCAUACCUACUCCACCAAAACCAUAGACCUGUGAAAAUGCUUCGUAUAUUUAAAAACAUUUGCAAAACACAUAAAAAAAAGUUAUCUGCACUCUGAGUAACUCCUGGCACACAAUCCUACUCCAUAUCUGAACCAGCCAAUUUAAUUUUGUGCAUGCAAAUAUAAUAUAUUGCCAUUAGGCAAGCGUUAUCUAUGUCACAAAAUGAGGAUCUAUUGACAAAGUAUCACAUCAAACUAGUGGAAGAGAAAGUUUACCUCAUAAACCUUUUCUGUGUAAGUAUCUUGGUCCUUUUCUGAUGCCCUUUUGAUGUUACGCUCCAAAAUUUCUUUGGGGAUAUCAAGUUCCCUAGCUUUCUCCAAUAUUGCUGCUAAAGCUGUGUUGGAUGAAGGGCUUGGGCCACCCUUCUUGAUGCUGUAUGAUACCCAUAAAAAAGAAAGAGAUGAAUUUAUAUGAAUGGCACCUUGCGCUAUAGUGCUUGGUCUUGCCAGCCAUUUUAACAAGGUCUGCCUCUUGCUAGGAGUCAAUGGUAUUCACUAUAGUAGGUACUAAUUAGGUAAUGAUUAAUCAUAGAGCACAACAGCAAUGCCCUAGCAAGACAUGAGUAAAAACACAGAUAUACUGAGAAUGUAUAGCAGACAUGUAUGGAACCGAAUCAUGUCCGGGUUAUGUAAAAUAAAAAAAAUGGUAUCCAGGUUACUCAAAGAGGUCAUGGCAACAGAUGUUAGCAGGUGACAACGUAUUGGAUUAAGCAUAUGCUCAAAACAGUUCAAAUUACUAAAUCAAUGAAAUACCAAGCUGUGAUGAAGAUAAUGCAAGAUCAAAGGGUCCAGCAGCACCUACGCAGAAACAAUUUCUUUUCCAAUUUUGCUGUUGCGCUUCAUCUUUUUCAAAUUCUGGGCAUCCUGAACCAAAGGAAAUUAGGUGUGAGAAUACAUAUGAGAAGUUAAAGCUAAGUAGCUAACUACACUAAACAAGCAAUGGAUGUCUCUUCCUGUUAGUUCUUCUUUAUACUCAUUUCUCCUUAUGCAAAGGAAAGUAAUGCCACUUACUUAGCAGCAAAGCUUGCUCAGAGACAUGGAAAAUACUAAACACAUGAUAUUUGUUGUUGCAUCUGCAUCCACUUCCAUUAUUCCAGGCAGAGGCUUGCCAACCAAAAUAUGCAUAGCGAGCCGUCACAAAUUCUGAACUACUGUAACAUUGUGCAGAAGAACAUGCAAAGGGCAAAUCAGUACAUCACCUUCCUUCCGGCGAUCUUGCAGGAGCGUCGCCCCAUGCAGAGCGGCUGGAACGUCGAAAUCCUCCGCCUCGCGGCAUGCCUCCGGAACAGGCCAGCGUUGCCAAUAGGUUCAAUCCCUGUCCCUGACGACACUAGCAAACAAUCAAGACACCAAACAUUUCAACAGCCCAAGGGAACUAGAUCCGCCGCGGAGGUGGGAACGAGGGCGCCAGCGAGGAAAGGGCGGGGUUACCGUGGAGGAGCGAGGCUCUCCGGAGAGCGGAGGCGGAGGAGGACAGAGACGAGGCCCUGUGGAGGAGCGCGCCCAGAGCGCGCGCGGCGGACGCCAUGGUGCCUGGUGGGCUGGUGGGUGGUGGCCACGGGAGAGGAAGCGCGCGCGGCAACUGUUCGACGAAUUGCGGCGCCCGGGCGGGGCUUGGGGCGGCCGCGGCUGGACUGCAGGCUGCGUGGAACCGGAUCUGAUGGGGAUUGGAGGGGAACGGCUCAGAUUCGACGUUUGUCCUGCCCGCCGACGAAUCUGAACCGUUGUCCACCGUGCGCUGCAGUCUGCAGGUUUGACACCUGGACUGGGUGUCCAAGACAUGCCAUCGCCGCAUACCAUAGCUGUCGUCAGUCAUCACGUGCCUAUUCCGCUUUCACUAGAGAGAAAAAAAAUCCUCGCUUGUGGAUGACUCAUGGGCCCAACAGCACGACUCACCGAGACCGCUACGCUGGGCCCCAUCCGCCAGAGACUUCUGGAAACGCCAUCCAAGCCGGCACUGAACAGCCGCAUCCGAGUGCGCCCCAAGCGUCGCGCAUCGGAAGCACUCCCGUCAGCGAUCCAACGGCCCAGGGACACACGGGCCCACAUGUCAUAGAACCCUCUCGCACCCUCCAGCUUCUUCGUCCACAGUCCCGUCGCUUCCUUCCAAGCUUCCACGCCCUUCUGGGCUCCCGGCGAACGCUCCACUCCGCCUUCUUAUGCUCACCGCUCUCCGGCACCGAGGCACAAGUACCAAGCAGAAACGCUAGCUGAAGCAACGCAAUCCCGCAAGCACCUGGUGAUCUUAUCUCAUUCAGAAGCCAGUAGAGAGGUAGAGAUAUUUCUUGCCGCUUGUUGUAGCAGAGUGUGAGGAGUAACAAGAGAGCGGCAGCUAUGAAUCCGGACAACUUCACGCACAAGACCAACGAGGCGCUGGUGGCGGCGCACGAGAUGGCGUCGGAGGCCGGCCACGCGCAGCUCACGCCGCUGCACCUGGCGGCGGCGCUGGCGGUGGACAAGGGCGGCAUCCUGCGCCAGGCCAUCACGGGGGCGUCGGGCGGCGACGGGGCCGCCGGGGACUCGUUCGAGCGCGUGCUGAGCAACGCGCUCAAGAAGCUGCCGUCGCAGUCCCCGCCGCCGGACUCGGUCCCGGCGUCCACGGCGUUGAUCAAGGUCAUCCGCCGCGCGCAGUCCGCGCAGAAGAAGCGCGGGGACUCCCACCUCGCCGUCGACCAGCUGCUGCUAGGCCUGCUCGAGGACUCACAGAUCUCCGACUGCCUCAAGGAAGCUGGCGUCUCCGCGGCGCGGGUGCGCGCCGAGCUCGAGAAGCUCCGCGGCGGGGAGGGCCGCCGCGUCGAGUCCGCGUCCGGGGACACCAACUUCCAGGCGCUAAAGACCUACGGCCGCGACCUCGUUGAGCAGGCCGGGAAGCUCGACCCCGUCAUCGGGCGCGACGAGGAGAUCCGCCGUGUGGUGCGUAUCCUCUCGCGCCGCACCAAGAACAACCCGGUCCUCAUCGGCGAGCCAGGCGUCGGGAAGACGGCCGUCGUAGAGGGCCUCGCGCAGCGCAUCGUCCGCGGUGACGUUCCCAGCAACCUCCUCGACGUACGCCUCAUCGCGCUCGACAUGGGCGCGCUCGUCGCCGGCGCCAAGUACCGCGGCGAGUUCGAGGAGCGCCUCAAGGCCGUGCUCAAGGAGGUCGAGGAAGCCGAGGGGAAGGUCAUCCUCUUCAUCGACGAGAUCCACCUCGUUCUCGGCGCGGGCAGGACGGAGGGUUCCAUGGACGCGGCCAACCUGUUCAAGCCGAUGCUCGCGAGGGGCCAGCUCCGGUGCAUAGGCGCCACAACUCUGGAGGAGUACCGCAAGUACGUGGAGAAGGACGCGGCGUUCGAGCGGCGGUUCCAGCAGGUGUUCGUCGCCGAGCCCAGUGUCGCCGACACCAUCAGCAUCCUGAGGGGGCUCAAGGAGAAGUACGAGGGGCACCACGGUGUGAGGAUCCAGGACCGCGCCCUCGUCGUCGCCGCGCAGCUCUCAGCGAGGUACAUCAUGGGCCGGCACCUGCCCGACAAGGCCAUAGAUUUGGUGGACGAGGCCUGCGCCAAUGUGAGGGUGCAGCUCGACAGCCAGCCGGAGGAGAUCGACAACCUCGAGAGGAAGAGGAUUCAGCUUGAGGUCGAGCUCCACGCACUCGAGAAGGAGAAGGACAAGGCCAGCAAAGCCCGGCUGGUUGAGGUGCGUAAUCUGAAUUACUGAAUUUUCUAGUCGUGUCUCAAAUCUCGAGUAAACGAGUCCUCUUUAUUUUCAUACCAACGUUGCUUAACUGUAACCAUUUUUUCAGGUCAAGAAGGAAUUGGACGAUUUGAGGGACAAGCUGCAGCCCCUGACCAUGAAAUACAGGAAGGAGAAAGAGAGGAUCGACGAGAUCAGGAAGCUGAAGCAGCGCCGUGAAGAGCUGAUGUUCAGUUUGCAGGAGGCCGAGCGCCGCAUGGACCUGGCCCGUGUGGCCGACCUCAAGUACGGCGCCCUCCAGGAGAUCGACGCCGCCAUCGCCAGGCUCGAGGGCGAGACAGGGGAGAACCUGAUGCUUACUGAAAACGUCGGUCCUGAACAAAUUGCAGAGGUAUGACUGCGACUACAGAAAUUUCUAGAGCGGUACUGAAUCCUCUUAUCGUGCAUUGUGCACCGUGCUGAAAUGGUGGCGUUUCUUGUGAGCAGGUGGUGAGCCGAUGGACUGGCAUUCCGGUGACCCGGCUCGGGCAGAACGACAAGGAGAGGCUGGUUGGCCUGGCUGACAGGCUGCACCAGAGGGUGGUCGGCCAGGCAGAGGCCGUGAGCGCCGUUGCGGAGGCGGUUCUCAGGUCGAGGGCCGGUCUUGGCCGGCCGCAGCAGCCCACCGGCUCCUUCCUCUUCCUGGGCCCGACUGGUGUGGGCAAGACCGAGCUCGCCAAGGCCCUCGCCGAGCAACUGUUCGACGACGAGAACCUGCUUGUCCGCAUUGACAUGUCCGAGUACAUGGAGCAGCACUCUGUCGCUCGGCUGAUCGGAGCACCACCUGGGUAAGUAGCACAUGCAAUCCUCAGAUUUUCAGUGACAUUUAGCUUGCAAUCAACUGGAUUUUGGGUGCUGACUUGGGAUUUCCGUGUCUGAAGCUAUGUUGGCCAUGAGGAGGGCGGGCAACUAACGGAGCAAGUGAGGAGGCGGCCGUACAGCGUGAUCCUCUUCGACGAGGUGGAGAAGGCGCACGUCUCCGUGUUCAACACGCUGCUGCAGGUGCUCGACGAUGGGAGGCUUACCGACGGGCAAGGCAGGACGGUGGACUUCCGGAACACCGUGAUCAUCAUGACGUCCAACCUCGGUGCUGAGCACCUCCUUGCCGGGAUGGUGGGCAAGAACUCCAUGAAGGUCGCUCGCGAUCUCGUCAUGCAGGAGGUAUGCAACUCGAAUCAUCCGGAACCAUCCAUGUGCAUUCGAAAUUUCUCCUCUUCUCUGCAAUGUGAUGCUCAAUUCGAGUGGGUUUGUUUUGUGUGUGUGUGUGCAGGUGAGGAGGCACUUCCGCCCUGAGCUGCUGAACCGGCUCGACGAGAUCGUGAUCUUCGAUCCCCUGUCCCACGAGCAGCUGAGGAAGGUCGCUCGCCUUCAGAUGAAGGACGUGGCCGUCCGUCUUGCCGAAAGGGGCAUCGCUCUGGCAGUCACCGACGCUGCGCUGGACAUCAUCCUGUCUCUUUCUUAUGAUCCGGUAUGUGAUCAUAGCAUCCAUUUGAAUUCUGAUCCGUCAGAAAACUUCUCAAGACAUUUCAAUUGCAUUGAUACUGACUCUGUUCCGUGAUCUUCAGGUCUAUGGCGCGCGGCCCAUCAGGAGGUGGAUCGAGAAGAGGGUGGUGACGCAGCUGUCGAAGAUGCUGAUCCAGGAGGAGAUCGACGAGAACUGCACGGUGUACAUCGACGCCGCGGCCGCCAAGGACGAGCUGGCCUACAAGGUGGACCGGAGCGGCGGGCUGGUGAACGCCGAGACGGGACAGAAGUCGGACAUCCUGAUCCAGGUCCCGAACGGCGCCGUCAGGGCCGACGCCGCGCAGGCCGUGAAGAAGAUGCGGAUCAUGGAGGAGGAAGACGAGGACGGCAUGGACGAGGAGUAGAGGUCCUGAUGGCCUUGCCCGGGCAGGCGGGGAAGCUACCAGCUCUUUUGGUCCGGCGCUGUCCUGGAGUGUUUGCCAAAUAAGCCUGUAGAUAAGCCGUGUUGCCAAGGCGUAAUGUGACGCUUGUGAAGAUGUUGUUUUGAACUCUGAUGCUUUUGUAAGGAGGUUGUUUGUCAAAACAUCUGCAGAGGAAUGGAUGGAUGAAUGAUGCUUUUGUAAGUCUUGGUACAUGCGACGGCGCCAAAAGAACUCUCAGUACAUUUGCUGAUCCAACUGAAUACUGAAUGUUCGCCUUUUUCAGUGAAAAUACUGAAAAUUUUCAUAUGUCCAUCAGAACUAUCCAAAAUCACAGAAACGCCUACGAAAAUAUGCAACUCUGAAGUCUGAAGAGACGAAGAAAUGUUCGUUGACGUGUGGCUUUCAGAGUUAGCUGAGAUAAAAAAUAGUACACUCCGUUUCAAUUUGUAAAUAGAUAUUAUUAGUAAUAUCCCGUUGCAAGAGGAGAAAAAAAUCGUCGCACUUAAAAUUCUAACUUAAUAAAUAUGUAAAAAAAAAUCAGAUGAUAACUUCUAAUUUAUGAUCCCAUUAACAAUUUCUAAAAUGUACAGAAAAAAAAAUCAUCGCACUUAGAAUCCUAACUUAAUAAAUAUGUAAAAAAUCAGAUGAUAACUUAAUAAUUUAUGAUCCCAUUAACAAUUUCUAAAAUGUACUUCAAAUUUGUGCGCAUAGAAUUCUAACUUGAUAAAUAUGUGAAAAAUUAGAUGAUACUUAUAAUUUAUGAUCCCAUUAACAAUUUCUAAAAUGUACUUCAAAUUUGUGCGCAAAUUGGUCUCAUUACCGUGACGGCGCCACACAGUGGGUUGGGUUGCAAGAGCAACCUUGAUGCACAUGGUGGAGCCAAAGAUCCAGGUUGGGUUGCAAGAGCAACCAUAAUGCACAUGGUAGAGCUAAAGAUUCAGGUUGGAGUGCAACAGCAACCAUGAUGCACAUGGUAGAGCCAAGGAUCCAGGUUGGUCGAAGCAGUAACAUCCAAAGGAGUAACACACAAAUGCAGUUGUUUUCUUUAGAGUUUGAGGGGGCGUUUGGAUAGCAGGGGCUAAACUUUAGUCCUGUCACAUCGGAUGUUCGGAUACUAAUUAGGAGGACUAAACAUAAGCUAAUUACAAAACUAAUUGCAGAACCCCUAGGCUAAAUGACGAGAUGAAUUUAUUGAACCUAAUUAAUCCAUCAUUAGCGAAUGAUUACUGUAGCACCACAUUGUCAAAUCAUGAACUAAUUAGGCUUAAUAGAUUCGUCUCGCGAUUUAGCCUAGAGGUUGUGUAAUUAGCUUUGUAAUUAGUCUAGGUUUAAUACUCCUAAUUAGUGUCCAAACAUUGGAUGUGAGGGAGCUACCCCUGAUUCAUGGAGUUCGAUUUGUGAAGAAAAUGGAGUUUCCUUUCCCUCGUACUAUGUGUUGUUGAUGUGAAUAUUUAAAAUAGUUGGUGAUGUGAGGCUGAGCUCACAUCUACUUUAUUAGAGGAAAUCUAGGCGCACGAAUCUUCUUCUCGAAGUCAAUAAUAUGAAGAGAUGGAAGUGGUGACACCAAUGUAUAACAUAAGUUACGUUGGUUGGUAUGUUUUUCAUGCACUCGUUUUGUUUUGAAAUCUGAAUUUAUUUGGAAAAAAAUAAAAGGUUUGAAUGACGCAAAACUCAUGACACUUUAUCCAAUAUAAACAGCUAGUGUUCCAAGCAUCAAUCAGGAUGGAAUUUUUUUCCCCCCUGAGGCUAGACUUCGUAUGCAUGGCCAUGCUCCGUGCCAAGCAAACCUUUCGUGCGAGACUGCGAGGGGAGUCCGGUGUAGAUUGCUGCUGCCCCUUCCAUCUUACAGCGCACAUGCGCUCAACCGGUCAGCUAGCCCAGGCUUGUGACACAUCGGCUCACAUGGCACGGCCACCAGCGACGCGUGGAGAAUUGAAGGGCGCGUGGAGCGUUCCUGCCGUACGCCCGUACGCGUGCAUAUACCGCGCAGGCGGGACAUGCGGUGCCAGCCAGAUUGCCGGCGUCUACGCCCUGAACCAGUUUAGGCCCCGUUUGAAUCCAGAAAGAUUUUGAGAAUCCGGAAUCCAAAAGCUGUACAGCUUCCAAUCAGCUUGGAUUCUGCUGCAGAUUCCACAAUCUGGAUUUUUGGAUUCUCAAAAUCCCGGAAGCUGGAGCGGGAUAGCUUUUAGCAGCUUGUGGAUGGAGAAAUUACCAUUUUGCCCAUGUUCAUCCGGUAAAAUUUCGCCCAAUCUGCCAUUCUUCUCUACCGCCUCCUCCUCUGGAUCUCUCCAUCUCCAUCUCCCGCACCCCACCGGAUCUCCAUCUCCCAGCCCCGCGCCUCCUCCCCGCCCGGCGUGCGGCGGGCCACCCGCCGCCCGGAGCUCCACCCCACCGCACCUCCUCCCCGACCAAGGUCCGGCGGGCCGCGCGCCGCCCGGGCCUCCGCUCGCACCGCGCGUCCUCCCCGUCCAAGCUCCGGCGGGCCGCGCGCCGCCGGGACCUCCGCCCCCACCGCGCCUCCUCCCCGGCCGCCGGGACCUCCGCCCCCACCGCGCCUCCUCCCCGUCCAAGCUCCGGCGGGCCGCGCGCCGCCCGGGCCUCCGCUCCCACCGCGCCUCCUCCCCGGCCAAGCUCCGGCGGGCCGCGCGCCGCCGGGACCUCCGCCCCCACCGCGCCUCCUCCCCGGGCAAGGUCCGGCGGGCCGCGCGCCGCCCGGGCCUCCGCUCCCACCGCGCCUCCUCCCCGGCCAAGCUCCGGCGGGCCGCGCGCCGCCGGGACCUCCGCCCCCACCGCGCCUCCUCCCUGCCCAGGUGCCGGCGGCCUGCACGCCGCCAGGAGCUCGGCCCCCACCGCGCCUCAUCCCCUCCCAAGUUGCACGCGCCGCCAGGCCCCCCUACCGUGCCUCCUCCCCACCCAAGUGUCGGGCCGCGCUCGCCUCCUUCUCCGUCCGCAGAUGAAGUCGCAAGGGGACCUCGACGACGACGAGUUCUUCAGCCAGCCCCCGAGCUUUUCCCUUGCGGCUUUCCCCUCUGGCGGUCGUGGCGCAGGACGUCGUCAUGUACCUGGCGGAUUGGAGGGUCUGGACCUCAACUCGGAGGCCAUGGACUUCAAUGACAACAUGUCGUACUUGGACCUUCUACGCUCAUCGCCUGCCAGAUUGGUUGGGGAUGGCGACCUCCUUGGUGGCGCUAGGCAUGGCGCUGGCCGUGCCCCCGGGCGUGGCGCCGGUCGUGGACGUGCUUCUAGCCGUGCCACUGGGCGUAGCGGCAGCUGUGGACGUCGUGCAGGUGAACAGGAUGUCGGCAUCCCUUCUCGGUCAGUUGGAGGUGCACGAGGACAUGCUCGUGCCACACCGAAUCGUCGUCCUACCACCACUGCAUCACGUCAAUUCCUUCCACCACGUCCUGCUGGAGGACAAAGCAGUGGCGCAACUCCUAGUGUUGCUGAUGAUGCAUUCGAUGUUGGUCUCCAGAAUCCUAGCACAUCUACAUGGAGCCUGAACCCCUCCAACGAAGAGGCCGACGAUCUUCAGGACAUUGAUGCAUCGGUAUAACUAUUUCCUUUUACUCACAUAUUUUAGUAAUUUCACUAGUGAACAGAAAAAGUGCAACAAUUGAGUUUUUACACAGGGAUUUCACAAAUUGAAGUGUAGCCAUCAGUAUGGAAGGAAACAAGAUUAGGCAGUACAUAAAUAGAUUGAUAUGAAUCACCUGGGAUCAGGCACAUCUAUAUGGACAAGUUGGACCACAUACUAUGUUAGGAAUAUAAACUGUAGAGUUCAGGAUACAGCAUAGUGAUGUAGCAUUGGAACCAGAUCUAUUGGUGGCAAGCUAUUGAGCAUGUCAGUAUAUUGAUUCGCAUCCCUUUCGAAUUGAAUAUACGGAGGAAUGUAGGAAACUGUGUUGCAACAAUCAGAUUACUGUGAUAUCAAAUCAAGUUCUGCAAUUUAUAAUACUAUGGACCGUACGAUUUACAGUUGCGAAAAUAUAAGAAGCAAAAGCAUAUCGAUUACAUUCCUUUUCUCCUGAAUAUACGAAGAAUAUUAUGAAACUGUGUUGUAAUAAUCGGAUUAUUAUGAUAUCAAACCAAGUUCCCUAAUUGAUGAUAUACUAUGAUCCUUACCAUCUAUCAAGUUUCUGUAUUAUAUAUUUGUAUGACCCAAGGAAUCUACAAUAUUAUGGUAGCACCUUUCUAGAUAUUUCUGUUAUCAUUUUCAUGUGCCUACCGUAAGUGUUCCCAAAAUAGCUCUCUUGUAACUAGAGGGGAGUUGUAUAUUUCUGUAGUUAGUCUGGGCACCAAGGAAAGACCUUAUGACAUUAUUUACAAAUUGUCUGCAACGUCGUGCAACAUUGUUGAACUAACAUAAGUUUAUUCAAGUUGCAACUGUUAUACUUUAAUUCAGCUGACAGUCUUUGACGUGCUUCACUCAAAGCAUAUGACAGUGGAAAUUGUGGGAUGAAUGGUAGUUGCUAUAUUGUAUUUUUUAUCCACUUGACUCAGUUCUAUUUUUUCACCUGUGUCAUCAUAAUUCUAUUUGUAUAAUAGACCGACGACCUAUUUGACAAGGCUGACUGGGCCAAUAGCGCCAAUAAUGCUGCAUUCUGUGAGCUUUGUGUUGAGGAAAUUACAGCCGGUAACAGCAAUAAAGGACACUUGACUAAUAGGGCCUACAACAACAUAGCUGCGAAAUUUGAAGAGAGGACAGGACUGCGUCACUCCAAGCAGCAGUUCAAGAACCGAUGGGAUGCCCUUCGACGCAUGUAUGCCUUCUGGUUGUAUGCAAACAAACAGAGUGGACUUGGAUGGGGUAGGGGCACGGUCGUGGCAGAUGACGCUUGGUGGAAAAAGCACACAAAGGUAUUUGACGCCUAUCCCCUGCUACUUCCAUAUUGAACAUACUUGUGAGACAUAAGCUUUGUGCAUUAAUAUCUUUUCUAUAUUCAUUUCAGAAUCAUGGCGAAUGGAGGAAGCUGCGAUAUGGGCCUCCAGAUAAUCUAGAUGAGCUUCAAGUGAUGUUUCAGAAUAUUGCGGUGGAUGGGUCAUCUUCUUGCAUACCUGGCGAACAGGUAAUUGAAAGUGAUGAAGGUGAUGAAGGUGAUGUUGGUGACAGGAGUCCUGAACGUACCCUUCCUAGAAAGCGGUGCAGGAGUACUAGCACUACUGCAACUAGCCCGAGGAAGAGGACAAAGAGUCCUAUGGUGAAGGUAAUGAAGGGGAUAUGGGAGACUAUGCAAGAAAAUUGUGCUGUUGCUCAGAAGGCAUUGCAGGGGGACUACAUUUUCGAAUCUGUACAACACUGUAUGCGUUUGGCGGUAGAGAGUGGGGCAGUUGAAGGAACUGAUGAGCAUUUUAUGGCUAGCAAAUUAUUUGUCAAAACAGAGCAUCGUGCCGUGUUUCUCAGUUUGACCACCAAAGAAGGAAGGCUAGCCUGGUUGAAGAGGUGGUGCCAGGAGAAGAAAAACAAGUAGACAAUAAACUUGAAGGUCUCUUUUGUGAUGUGUGAUGGGCAGGAGAAGGAAAGAAGUACACAGUUAACUUGUGGCAUGUAUAUAUGAUCUCUUUUGUGAUGUGCUGUCCAGAAGAAGAACAACAAGUAGUUUGUGAAGUAUGGCAUGUAUAUAUGACAAACUCUUUUGUUAUGUGGGAUGUCUAUUUUGUUAAAGUCUGUGUUAUGGUUAUAUAUUAGUCAUCACCUUUUAUUUGGGAUUUUUGUUUGACGUAUUUUUGUGUUAUGUAGAUGACCUAUUCCUCAAGUGAUGAUGAUGAUGAGUCAGCGAGUAAAUCUUCUUCAACUGAUGAAGAUGAAGUAAAUAGGAAUGCACUGGGACAAUUGGAGCUUGUGCAUCAAUUUGGAGCUGUGGCCUGCAUUUUCGGUAUGUACUACGAAUCUGCUUUCAUGAACAAAACUAAGAAGGUGAAAACUGGUCUUUCUGGAUAUGAGUGGGUCAUGACAACACUUAGCAAUCCAACAGCUUGCUACGACAUGUUUAGAAUGAGUAGGGAACUUUUUUGGCGGCUGCAUGAUGUGUUGGUGUCAUCAUAUGGACUGAACUCAUCAAAAAGGAUGAGCUCCAUUGAGUCAUUGGCUAUGUUCUUGUGGAUCAUUGGAGCACCACAAUCAUUGAGACAAGCUGAAAAUCGUUUUGAGAGGUCGAUUGAGAUGGUUAGUAGGAAAUUUGAACAAGUCUUGGAUAGUGUAUUUAGGCUCUCAGCUGAUGUUAUAAAACCUAGAGAUCCUCAUUUUAGAACAGUCCAUCCUAGAUUGCGGAAUCCUCGGUUCUCACCUCACUUUGACAAUUGCAUUGGGGCAAUAGACGGAACGCACAUCCCGGUUGUUGUUCCAUCGUCAAAAGUGCUUCAAUAUGUUGGUCGACAUGGUUACUCGAGUCAAAACGUAUUGGCUAUUUGUGACUUCGACAUGAGAUUCACGUUUGCGGUUGCGGGAUGGCCGGGGUCUGUACAUGACAUGAGGGUUUUCAACGACGCAAUAAACAAAUAUGGUGAUAAGUUCCCUCAUCCGCCACAAGGUAAAUAAGCAUGUUAUUUAAAUGUGGCAAAAAUUAUUGGUUCUAUGUUACAAUUAUGCAAUUUUAUGUAUUAGGGAAAUUUUAUCUUGUGGAUUCGGGGUACCCUAAUCGACCGGGUUAUCUUGCACCUUAUAAGGGAACGAAGUAUCAUUUGCCGGAAUUUCAACAAGGUCCAAGACCAAGAGGUAAAAAAGAGGUAUUCAAUUAUUUGCACUCAUCCCUGCGCAAUGUCAUUGAGCGGUCAUUUGGAGUAUUGAAGAUGAAAUGGCGGAUGUUGUUAGACUUGCCGAGUUAUCCAUUGAAUAAGCAAAGCAAAAUAAUCCUUGCUUCGAUGGCUCUACAUAAUUUCAUUCGAGAAAGUAAUAUGAGGGAUCAAGACUUUGAUAUGUGUGACCAAGAUGAGGAGUACAUGCCAAUGCCGACGACAGCUGCUUCUCAAGCAAGUGGUGCUACGAACCUUUUAGGUGACGAGGAUAUCGACAUGAAUGCGUUUCGAGAUGCUAUAGCAAAUGCUUUGUUUCAUAAUGAAGAGUAAAGCUAUGUGAGAGGGUGUUUGUAUUGACAAAUAUUAUGUAGAACCUGUAUGCCGUUGCAUUCUUGCACUUAGGAAAUUUUUUUGUCUUGACUGAUGACGCAUGAAAUAGAAGGGCAAAAAAGACAUGUAUGCAACAAACAACAAAAAAGUUAGAUUUUGGAAUCUAGAAUCCAAACAGGUUCAUUCAGAUUUUAUCCAGAAUUCAGAUUUUGGAAAUCCAUCAGAAUCCAGAUUUUGAGAAUCCAGAUUCUGGAUCCAAACGGGACCUUAGUCGUCCGCUCAGCCUCAUCCUCUCACCGCUCCAUGCUCGUUCCUUGUGUCACUCUCACCUGCCUGCAUCUCUCUCCGUCCUCUGCCGAGCGUGCGUCCUCCUUGCGAGGGAGGCCUACGGCGAACGCACAAGCUGCUUCGUGCAAGUUCGUAGCAGCAGGUGAGCCUGCCCAUGGCGGCAGCGCGCCCCCUGGACACUCGAGGAUGGUGACGCCGGUUCCACCGUUUAUCGAGUACACACAUGGGUUGCCCCAUGUUCAUCCGGGUGGGUCUUGUUGUCUUUUGUUCUUUGAUUCUCAAGAUUUAUGGAUUGCUUCCUAGAUUCCUCUUGUCGAUUUGGCCCCUGAUUUUAGUUCGAUUGUUGCAGAUUCCACUUGUUGCUUCAUGUUUAGUCCUCCUAAUUAGCAUCUGAACAUCGAUAGCAUCUUGACCCAGCUAAAGUUUAGCACCUCGUAUCAAACACCCCUAAAUCACUCUUUUUCACGAUGCCGAGUUAGUUCAUGAUGAUGCUACUGGUGACAUCUUUGGCGGUACCUCAGGUCUUUACACCAACAAAAGUAAAUGCGUGAUAUCUCCAAUUCAGUGUGUAGUGGUUUGGAGGAGACGGGGACGAUACUCCACUUUUUUUUUUCUCUGGGAGGUUGGAGCCGUUCCCAUGUCGAUACCUGAGAAUCCCACUGUCAAUUCAUGAAAAACUGAUCUUCAGUCACAUCUCGACAAAGGUGGGAGAUGGUUUGGUUCGACAACUUGGAAAGCACAUCUACUUAUGGUGUGUUUGGUUUGAGGAAUCUAGAUGAGAUUAUUGUCAAUCGUGAGUUGAUCGGUAAAAUUUAGUGUAAAAUUUAGUGGGAUAAUCCUAUCCUCGGUUAUACUAUUUAUUAGUUUGUGAGGGGUGGUUAUACUAUUUAUUAGUUUGUGAGGGAUGAAGCGGUGAGGGUUCAAGUCAUUCAAUUCCACAGACAAAAUGGUUAUACUAUUUAUUAGUUUGCGAGGGACGAAGCGGGGAGAGUUCAAGUCAUUCAAUUCCACAGACAAAAAAAGUGAGCAGUGAGAAGAUGAGACAUGAAUUCAUUCCACAGUCCUUGCUGAAGUCAAAGUGCCCUCAGUUCCAAUCCCUAUUGCGUAUGAGAUGGCUCUGGAUUGUGGUAUCUACAACGUCCGUUCCUGCUUGCUUGUGCUGAAGCUGACCAGGUGCAGCAACUUAAGUUGGAUUUGGAAAUCGGCGUCAUCCUAUGUAAUCAUCUUUGAUCUCACCAAAGACAAGAUGUUGUACUUGUACAUGAACGUAGUACUCAAGUGGCCAAGGUGACGCCGCACGGGGUAGUAGCAUAUAUAGAGAGAUUACGAAUCUUUCAAGUAGUUGUCGACAAAAAAAAUGUCUUAACAAGUUAAUCAUCCUUGUAGCUAAUACCCAUUGACACUAGCAGCUUACAACCGAAGUGCCACUUGCACUGGUUGUUAUAUAUAGGAAAGACCAACUUCCCGUUGACACUACUAGGAAGCCGUGCAACUGCCUCUAAAACGAGUUAAUACGCCGUCAUCUCCCACAGAACAGCAUCAAUUCAUCAAAUAGAAUUCUGGUAUUCGUACAACGGAGGAGCCGUACGGGUAGCAGCAGGACUAGCCGGGUUCACAACGCCAUGCCGUAACAGCACUGGCGACUGCGUCGUGCGCGUUUAGCAUUACCAUUCCACUAUAUAAGGUCCGCUGCCGUUCUGAUCAAAAGUAGGCCACGUUCGAAGCGUGCAAAACCAUCUAGCAGAGACUAGAGAUAAGCAAGCAUAAUGAUCCAGGCUAUUAAUCAACAUCUUUGAGCAAAUGGGAGGUGUUGGUCAAUACGCAAUUAGGGUGGUAAAGGGUCCUCUAAUUGAGCCUCAAUAAGGGUUGGGUCAUAGUAUUAUAUAAUUUUGAAAUAGGAUUGAGUUGGAUUGUAAAGGAAGUAUAAGGGUUACGAUCUACUAUUACCCCUGUACAAUUCAUGGUGGUAACAUAAUGGCUCCUCUUUUAGUAACCGUGCGUACUUAGUUGGCUUCCUAUCUUAGAAUUGCAGACUUGUAGCUGUGAGCUGCCUUUUCUGUUGGUGCUGUCAUGCUUUGGCAUUUGAAGUUGUGGUAACCUACCGGUAUCUGUAAUAUAUUAUUAUUUGCUAUUGAAGAUAACGGAUUUAUAUUGAAGACUUACUCGUGGAUGAGUAAGGUUUAAGCAUGGGAAUGGGAAGAUUAUUGACGCUCACUAUUAACACACUUUUAGCCCUCUUUUAUCUUCAAUAAUGAAAUGAAUUAAAUACCUAAACUAUUGAUUACACCGAAUAUACAAUGUAUUUUGGAGGAUGUUGUAUUUUUGCAGGAAAUUAAUAUUCAAGUUGCUACCAUCCUUCUCUAAUAUGGAGGGUACAACCUUGCCCUUAGUUGAUUCUAAGUAACUCCAUCCACGUUGAAGGUGUUGCAUAGCUGCGUAAACGCUUGUAGAUGAAGAUUAGCAUCCUCCUAGUGAAAGGUGAACUCUGCAAGAUUCUAAGUCUUGAAGUAUCGAUCCCAAACGGUCGGCCGACGCCGCCUAAUUCAUGGAUAGGUAAGAUAUUGAUGUUCAGGAUGCAAAGUUCCCCGAUAGUAGGCUCUUGCUCCGGUUGUUGAUCUCCCAUUUCAGGUGCUUGCGGUACUUCUGGAGUAACUGUUGUUCCUCCUGAACUUGCUGGUGGUGUCGACUUUAGAGUAGACGAUGACGAUGAUGAUGUUUCUAAAGCUUUCAAUUCUUCCUUAACAGCUGAAGCUUCGAUCUCCAGCUUUCUUGCUUGUGCUAAACAUCUUCAUUGCCUCUAAAAUUUUUCUAGAUCAUACACAAAAUUUUUUGGUUUGUUGGAGACAUCUCCUAUUAGCAUUAGUGAAAGUAAACACAUAUAUACAAGAACUAGAUCUGAAAUUUUGAUUGAGAUUGCACAAAAACAAAAA
rnacentral:lncRNA from 1 species